UACGUAGGGGGCAAGCGUUGUCCGGAUUUAUUGGGCGUAAAGAGCUCGUAGGCGGUUGGGCAAGUCACGUGUGAAAUCUCCACGCUCAACGUGGAGGCGCCACGUGAGACUGCCCUGACUCGAGUCCGGUAGGGGAGCGUGGAAUUCCCGGUGUAGCGGUGAAAUGCGCAGAUAUCAGGAAGAACACCCGUGGCUAAGGCGGCUCUCUAGUACGGUACUGACGCUGAGACGCGAAAGCGUGGGGAGCGAACAGG
rnacentral:rRNA from 1 species